UAUUUCAUAGCAUAGAAUAUGUUUUUUAUUAAUUAUGAACUUUAAUUUUAUUUGUUUUGCUUGUUUUAUAAUUUGCGUAAAGCACUUUUAAGUUCUAAUUAUUGUGUUGAUUUAAAUUUACUAUCCUAAGUAAACAAAAAAAAUUUAUUCUCUUAUAUAACAGGAAUUCUGUAUAUUUACUUAUCAAUGAUAUUUGUGAAUACAAUUUAAUUUUGUUUAAUUCUAUAUUUUUUGUUCUUUUAUUUGCUUUGUGUUUGCAUGUCAUUUUGUAUUUCAAGUUUCCUCAUAAUUAAGCUGAUGACUAAUUAUUGUAUGAAUUUUUUGAACAUUAAAAGUUUUAAAUAAAAUCCAUCAAGUUAUAGAUGUAUGCAUAUAAAAACUGAUUUAUCUUUUCUAUUUUUUUAAUUACCUCAUAAAGUGAUGUUAUUCAGCAUUUAAUAUUAAACUCACAAAGAUUUUUAAAAUCCAGAUCUCCAUUAACCCUCAAACAAUCAAAAGAUGAAGAUUUGUAUAACUGUAAUACGGAUGAUUACAGAUUAAACAGUCCUGACAAGCAACUAGUUUGUCAAAUAUGUGGCCGUUGGUGCAGUUCUAAAAGUAGUUUACUGACUCACUUAAGAGUGCACACCGGAGAAAAGCCCUUUGCGUGUGAUCUAUGCGGAAAGAGAUUUACGCAGAAAGCAACCCUCCAAAGGCAUCGUCAUUUACAUACUGGUGAGAAGCAUUUUAAAUGUGAUCAUUGUGGUAAACGGUUUUAUCGUAAAGAUAAGUUGUAUGAGCAUUCUAAUGUUCAUCGCCAAAAUCGUGUGGCAAUUCCCAUUUCUAACGAAAUAUAUCCUUGACAAUUAUAUUUACAAAAUUAUUAUAAAAAAUUUUUCUUAGCAUAAUUUAUUAAGUUAUGCAGUCUGAUUAUUUAUUUUAUUUAUAAAAUUCUAUUGUGAUUUAGUGUAGUUUUUUCAUGAAAAAGUGUGGAAAAGAAAAGUAAUCAGAAGAAUGAAAGAUUUAAAAUUACUAAUUUAUUUACCUAAUUUGUGCAAUUUUUUAUUAAGAAAAUUAAUUAAUGCCUUUUUUUUUUUACCAGCAAUAUCAAAACCAAAAUCAGAAACCUUAAAAUACUAAUUUGAUUUGUGCAUUUGUUUAUUAACUAUAAAAUUUAAACUGUUUUUUAUUGCUUAUUUUCUGGCUACAAAAAAUGUCUUACUACAACGUAAGUGUAAAGUAAAUCAUUUCUAUCAUUCAUUGUGAAUUGAUUGAGGUCUUUGAUUCCAUUUCCAGUUCUAUUUAUUUUCAAAAAUAUAAUAUGAUAUACAAAAUUUUUUUAUAUAAACUUAUGUUAUAAUGUUAAAAAUAUUAUUACUUAUGUUAUAUAAAUUUGUUUACUUAAAAAUUAUAUAAUUUUAUGACAUUAUUGACUUUAUUUAUGUCGAUUUUUAUGAGAAACUGAAGAAUAAAUUAUAAGUCACUUUUUUCUUUCUGCAAAUACUAAAAAAAGGUAGUACACUUAACUUUUUUCAAUUUUUAAAAUUGAUGCUAUGAUGAAAGCAAUGACUGCUAGUUAUGUAAUCAAAAAGAUCAUAUUUUGUAAAGUUAUGUAUUUUAAUUUUAUUGAAUUAUCUGAUUGAUCCGUUACCGCAAAUUAUUGCUGCAGCCGUCCGAUUUUUGAUAUAGUAAAUGUCAGCUAUAGUCAUCCUGUGCAUUAUAUUAAUAAAAAGGGGCAUUAACAUUUACAAGUGGUGGACCGAAACAAAUUCAUUAUCAUUGAUAUCCACAGGUUUUAUAUGACAACUUACUAGUUCACUAGUUGAACUUUGCAGUUGUAAAAAAAGAUGGGUAAAGUAUAAAAUAUAAUUAUAUUUUUGAUUUGGAAUCAAAUUUUUUAUAGUAUUCUUGAUAACCCAAAUGGGUAGUAUGUGUUGUUUUUUGGAAGCCUAUCAAAUUUUUAUAAUGAAAUUAAAUAAUUGAUGAUAAAGUAUGCCUAUUUACUAAAUUUAAAAAAAAAAUGCUGUUUUGCUAAUUUUUUUGAUGAAAAUCUGUUUUAAGUGCUUUUGAAAACCAUUCACCAUGCAGUGCAAUAUUUAAAUUCUUUAUAUUUUAUGUGGUUGAACAGUUAAUUAAUAUUGAGUUAAUGUUUUGUGAAAAUUAUUUGUUAGCAAGAUUUGAAUUGUUUAGGAUACUAUAUUUAUUCUUGUUGAAAAUAUUAAAGAUUAUUUUGUUAUAUCUUAUGGGGCGAUUUUUUAAUGCAUGAGAAAAAUUUACUUCUUUAAAAAUACUGAAUUUUUGUUGCAAUUAGUGAAGUUUUGUGUAUGCUUAUUAAAUAAUGUUAUAUUUAUGUUAAAAAUUUUCUUAAAAUAUGCAAAUUAUAAACCAGUUUUGACAGAAUUUAUAAAUAUUGUUUUGUUGAUAGAAAAAAGGGCCUGGGUUGGUGCGUUAGGUUACCAUAGAAAAAAAAUUUAUGAAUUCAUUAAAGUUGUUUCUAAUGGAAAUUUAUUUUUUGUUGGAAAAAUUUGUAUUUGUCAACUGUUAAGUAUUAUGAAAUAAUUUGCAUAUUAUUAGAAUUGAAACACGUUUUUCAGACCUAUAAUAUUAAAAAAUUUUAUAUUCUG